UCAAGGGUUCCAAUGCACCUUUGCACCUCGGAGUGGCCUUUAUUCUAUCGAGCUCAUUUAAUGGCCCACUACGAAGAAUGUGAGACCACAUUUACUCACACUUUCCUCUUGCAACAUCAACAGUGCUGUCACGCCCCGGGACCCAGCGGAAGCCCGCCCGGUGCGUGUCCAGACCCGCCGUACAUCUAAAACAUACAAGGCGUCUAAGAUAAAGCGGUAAAUAAAGCAAUAAAGAGAAAGCAUCUAAGUGUA
rnacentral:lncRNA from 1 species